UGAACGCUGGCGGCAUGCUUUACACAUGCAAGUCGAACGGUAACAGGCCUUCGGGUGCUGACGAGUGGCGAACGGGUGAGUAAUGCAUCGGAACGUACCCAGAGGUGGGGGAUAACGCAGCGAAAGCUGUGCUAAUACCGCAUGUGAUCUGAGGAUGAAAGCGGGGGACCGAGCAGCAAUGUUUGGCCUCGCGCCUUUGGAGCGGCCGAUGUCGGAUUAGCUAGUUGGUGGGGUAAAGGCCUACCAAGGCGACGAUCCGUAGCUGGUCUGAGAGGACGACCAGCCACACUGGGACUGAGACACGGCCCAGACUCCGACGGGAGGCAGCAGUGGGGAAUUUUGGACAAUGGGCGCAAGCCUGAUCCAGCAAUGCCGCGUGCGGGAAGAAGGCCUUCGGGUUGUAAACCGCUUUUGGCAGGAACGAAACGGUGUCCGCUAAUACCGGGCGCUAAUGACGGUACCUGCAGAAUAAGCACCGGCUAACUACGUG
rnacentral:rRNA from 1 species